CUCCUGCUCCCAACCCCGCAGUUUGCUACGAGGUGAUGCAUUUCUCUGUGCUCAGCCAGGUGCAGCGGGGCUCUGGGGGAGCAGUUUGGGGGCUGCAGCACGGAGCUGCCCCGGAUCCGUGCAGGAUUUGACCCUCCCUCCGGUGGGAGCAGCGAGGCUGCCGGCGUGGCGGCUCAGCGCUGCGAAAGCCAGCGAAGGCUGCGAAUGCUCAGGGGAGCUGCAGGGAGGAACUGUUGCUGUCGAUCUGUUAAUUAAGAUUAAUGUGCUAGCUGAUAAGGAUGACUCUGCGCCAAUUGCUAUUAUAAGCCAAGAUCCUGCGAGGCAGUGAAGGGUGCGCGCCUGCUUCCUCAGCAGCGGGAGGCCCCGGCCGCCGCGCCUGGGGCUCGCAGCACAGAAAGGGGCCCUGGGCAGCAGAAAGAGGGGCGCUGCAGUAAAAAGGGGGGGUGUUGCAGUAAAAAAGGGGAUGCUGCAGCAGAAAGCAGGGUGCUGAGCUGCUCUCCCAGCGCUUCAGUGCCUCCUGAGCUCCCUCUCUGCUGGCGGGGUGCUCGGGGGCUUGCUCGGGUGCUGUCGUGGCAGAACGGAGUCUAUAUUUUUGGAUGGCGUCAAGGCAGAGCUUUGUAUCCUCCUGCCCCAAGGAGCAGAGGGGAAAGGAGGAACGUGAUCUGCUCCUGGAGCCUUGCUGGAGCUGAGUGCUCCCCCGCACCACCCCAUGACCAGUUUCCCCAUGUGGGUGCUGCUGGGCAGCCCCAUCCCAAGGCGCCGCGCCGCUCCCCAGCUUCGAAGCCGAGCCGAAGCCCUCUCGACCUCCGUGGCCGAAGUCGUGUUCAGCGCAAAUUCAUCCCAGUCCCACAUGCGGAAUUAGAUAACCUUAUCACCGCAUCCUGCACAGAUCAGUAACUCUGCAUGGCUGUCAGCUCCUUUCAGCCGGCCGUAAUUGCCUAGCAACGUCGCGCUGUCUCUUUGGAGGCAGCCUAAUUCGGUUUCUGGUCAUCCAUACCAGAGCCCCGCGCAGGCAUCUGGCAAAGCUGGGGGCAGACGGGCACGGAGAGCGGCCGGAGCAGCGGGCACCGUGAUGGGCAGGCAGCUCUAAGGUCUUCCUGAGCAGUCUGAGAUCCUGGUUAAGCUGUAUCCCCGCUGCUGUGCCACCAUUUAUCCAUUUAUUCCAAGGAAUAAAAUGGGAUUUAGGCAAGGGCA
rnacentral:lncRNA from 1 species